rnacentral:rRNA from 1 species
UACGAAGGGGGGCUAGCGUUGCUCGGAAUCACUGGGCGUAAAGCGCACGUAGGCGGACUCUUAAGUCGGUGGUGAAAUCCUGGAGCUCAACUCCAGAACUGCCUUUGAUACUGAAGAUCUUGAGUUCGGGGAGAGGUGAGUGGAACUGCGAGUGUAGAGGUGAAAUUCGUAGAUAUUCGCAAGAACACCAGUGGCGAAGGCGGCUCACUGGCCCGAUACUGACGCUGAGGCACGAAAGCGUGGGGAGCAAACAGG